GUCUUUGUGGUGCAAUGGUAGCACACUCGACGCGUAUACGAGAGGUCCAGGUUCGAGUCCCGACGAAGGCG
rnacentral:tRNA from 1 species